rnacentral:lncRNA from 1 species
UAAGAUAAUGGACUAUCGAAUUGCACUUUGACUUAUAUCAUUAUUUAUUAAGUGUUGUAUUUUACUUGAAUGAUUUUAAUCAUGUGCAGGUCAUUUUCAAUCAUGGGUAAUCAAUGGUAGUUAUGUACUAACCAAUGUAAUUAUGCCACUUAAUUCAAAAUGACACAUAUGUCAAAUACAAAAAGAUAGUCCAUAAUACUACAUGGUGGAUUAGGUUCAGUUAAAAAUUGCCAAGAGAGAGCCGAUCAUUGAAGCCCUUUAUUCCAAGAAAUUUUGCUCACUCAGGAUUUUCUGAGUGGGAUUUCUUGUCAUCCUCAUAAUAAGGGCCUCUGAAGUUAACGAUUUUGAUUAUGAUACUAAAUCUAACUUAUUCUUUUUCCUUUUGUUGAAUUCUCUAGGGUCUUCCUGUCAUUGCAAUUGGUGCUGGACUCAGUACAUUUGAUAAAGCAUCUGUAAGAAUUGUAUAACUUUAUUAUGUGUUUAGUAUGCUUAAAUUGGAACACUAGACCUUGCCAUGUUAAAGCCACAAGGUGCAAGCGUGUGUCUUACCAAAGUGAGGCACAAAAAGAAGAUAAAAUUUCAUAAUUUCAUAAUAUAAAGCUAAUAAGACUUAUAACAUAGUACAUGCAUAAAACAUAAA